UUCUCUCACUUUUUCUCCAUUUGUUCAUAAGCUUUUUUUCUCAAUUCAUCGAUAAUUCACUAUUGUUUUUGCAAGAUCUUGGUUGAAUCUUCAUGUGUAGGUAAUGUGCAAGUACUGUCGAAGCAAAUUGGAGCUCAAAACUAUCAAAAACUCCAACUGUCCAAGAUUGUUCAUCAAUGGCAAAUCAAGAAUUCAAGCGUUUGGAGUAUUGUUGAGCUACCAAAGCUGUGCCAAUCAUCUUCCUAACCAACAUACUUCACCUGUUUUCGUGAAUUGAAGCAAAACAAACACAAAUCCGGAACUGCACUCGAACUAAGGUACAUUAGUUGCUAAUAUUGCUUUGCUUUGCUUGAUAAGCAAUUUUCACUGAGGUAACGAGCAGUGAGUUGAGUAGAAGCUAAUGUUCGGAGUCUAGUGUAAUUCCUUAGUGGGUCAUGCUCUGGUAGAUGUAACAUCGGGACGGG